rnacentral:lncRNA from 1 species
UGAAGCUAUAUGUGAAGGUAUGAUGUGAAUGAAGAUAAUGUGAUCAUGUUAUGAAUGUAAAGGUGUUGUUGUAGGUUGUUCACUGGUUUGGUUGUAUAAUUACUACCCUAUUUUCCAUGCUCUUUGAUUCCAUUACAUGCCUUCAAGGUGUUUGACAAAAUGUCCAACUAUGGAGAAUUGAUGAAUCGAUGUUUUAAAGCUUGAGUUAUGAGAUGUAUGGAAAUUCCAUAGAUGUGUUGAUGACACUCAUGAAUGUUAAUGAUAGAAUAUGAAGGAUUCUUCAAUAUAAAGUAUACCUUGAAUUGGUAGGGCUUAUGCAUCCUUUUCAUGUAUAGAUGAUUAUAUUGUUGAUUGUUGAAUCCUUGGAUCGGUAGGCUAAUGGCACCCUUCCACACAUGCUUAUAAUGUACCUCGGAUCGGCAGGCUUAUGGCACCCUUCCAUUAAUGAAAAGUAAUGAACCUUGGAAUCGGCAGGCUUAUGGCACCCUUUCAUGUCUGAUAAUGUCAAAGUAAUGAACUAUUCUAUGGGAAUGUAGGCUAAGCACCGAGCGGAUUUGGUUAGAUGGAAACUCCCCCGACAGUUAGGCAUGAGUUUCAAUGAUCGUCUACCUUAUCCCAUAAACUAUGUGCCCGCAUAGGAAGCUAAUGGAUCCAUUAAGCUAUAUAU